GAAAACUGUGUUUUGGCCCGCCCAUUUGGGCCUAAUAGCUUUUUCGUAACCCAACUUUUCAUAACCCAAAAUAUGUCCACGGUUCCCAAAAAAAAUAUAAUUUUCAUGCACUAUCCACUGUUUAUAAUUUAAUUUCCAAAAUUACCCCUCCAGCCUUCCAUGUCAGCAGCCAUCUCCUUAUCCGUGUCAGCACGGGAAGUUGUGUUUUUAAUAAUUGAACACAAAAAUAUUAAGCUUUAGAGUUAGCAUUUGCAAAACCCACGACCCGACUCAAAAAUUUGGGGAAACGCUCUGACUUCCUCGCUUUUUGCCCUAUUCUCUCCUUUUGCCUGCAUUUUCAUGGGUGGUUUCUGGAAUCGGCGGUGGAGCUUCGUCUUCCUUUUGGAGUAAUCGCAGGUGAGUUUCCAUUUAACAAUUUGUUUGGCUGUUGAGAAAAAAUUUGGGCUAAAUGUUGUUUUGCAUUGUUCACGAGCUGUCCAAGCUUUUUGAUUUUAUUUUAUUUUUUAAAAAACAUAAGAUGCUAUUUCGUAAUCUGAUUACGAUUUGCAAGCAAAGGUGGUAUUUUUCUGGCUGGCUCAGAAAUCGUGGGUUUAGGGUUUUUGAAAUUUAAUUCCAAUGGCACAAUAAGAUGCUAUUUGGUAAUCUGACCACGAUUUCCAGGCAAAUGUGGUAUUUUUGAGCCUGGUUCAAAAAUCGUGGGUUAGGGUUUGUGAAAUUUAAUUCCAAUGGCACAAUAAGAUGCUAUUUGGUAAUCUGAUCACGAUUUGUAGGCAAAGGUGGUAUUUUUCAGCCUGGCUAAAAAAUCGUGGGUUUAGGGUUUGUGAAAUUUAAUUCAAAUGGCACAAAAGCAAAGAGACCCCUAGAUCCAGAAAACAGAGGGAGGGAAAAAAAAAACACAACUUUCCCUAUAUAUUAGAUGAGUGUCUCCCAACUCCCAUCCCACUCUAAGAGAGAACUUAUCGCCAAACAGGUCCCUUUUCUUUUAUUUUCCUUUAUUUUCUGGUUAUUUUCGACUGUCUGUGACCUUUUAACUUUCUCUUUUUAGUGUAAGUUUUGUAGAAUGUGAAACUUAUUUCUGAUUCUGGUGUUUUGCACCUUGUAUUAUAACCUUUCGAUUGAUAAGAUUAUGCGAGUAUUUGUGUGACUUUUUCAAUGUUUUUAUGGUACUCGGAUUGCAUAGUUAAGUUUCA
rnacentral:lncRNA from 1 species